rnacentral:lncRNA from 1 species
GGCUUUCAAUCUUUUUUGACAGCCCAAGUUACAAAUAUAUCAUGAUCCAGCACAGAUCUAUCUGUACGUGAACUCGAAGCUUUAUGACAAAAUACCUAUCCUUUCAAUUGCCAAGUAGUAAGCUCUCCAGAACUGACCUGGCAUUACUUGAAUGCCUAUCUUAAGUGAAAUACUCCUUAGAGGAACCCAUGUAAACAAGAAUUCUUGUGUAAAAAUAGAGUAGUCCCCCUUCAUCUUCAGUUUUGCUUUCAACAGUCUCUCCCCACACACACCCCCCAACUAUUAUCUUAAAGUAUGGAAUAGAAAAACCCCGGAAACAUUUCAUGUUUUAACUUGCAUGCUGUUUAGUGUGAAUAUUGCACCCUCCCUACUGGGACAUGAAUCAUCCCUGUCUAGUCUAUCCAAACUGAAGCUACCUCAGCAGCCAUCUUAAAACCCACUGCACAACCAGGGUUUAUAUUCCAGUAACCCUUAUUUUGCUUUAAGGGCCCCAAUUUAAUUAUAGCUUAAUUGUUCCAUUUGAUUAGUAAUAACCUCUAAUUGUACCAAACUUCAUAAAUGAAAACUUAGGUCUGUAAGGAAAAAUCAGUAAUCAGCCCUCAAACUUCAAGGCUGGGGAUGUGGCUCAAGCGGUAGCAUGCUCUCCUGUAGUGCGUGGGGCACUGGGUUCUAUCCUCAACACCACAUAAAAAUAUUGUGUUCACCUAAAACUAAGUAAAUAUUUUUUUAAAAAAUUCAAGGGUUCCACAUGUAGAUCCAACUAACUACAUAUUUUUAAAAGCUGGCUCUAUUUAGCAUGUGUUCAUUAUUCCCUGAAUACAUAUUACAUUGUAUUAGGUAUUAAGUACUCUAUACACUAUUUUAUGAUUUUAUAAAAGGACUUAAGCAUUGGCAGACUCACAUCCAAGAAGGUCCUAGAACCAUUUCCUACAGAUACUGAGGGACACCUGUAUGUGUAAUUUUUUACAUCAAACUGAGGUUUUGAACAUAUCCCCUGUGGAUAAGGAGGAACUACCAUACCCUAGAAGAGCAGUAUUUUCAUUCAGACUCAAAAAAGAACCCAUCAAAAUAUCAACCUCAGAGCUAGGAAGUAGCUCAGUGGAAAGCACUUGCCUUGCACGCACAAUGCCCUGGAUUCAAUCCCCAGUUCCAAAAAAAGAAGGGACAAAAAGAAAACGCAAAUAUCAACUCCAAAUACAAAGU